AAUACCUCACUUUCCCAGACAGCAGUGUCAGAUGCUUAAAUAUUUAUAAGUCUAAAUUUGCAUUGUUUUUUUAUUUUUUUUAUUAAACAGCAAUAACUUCUAAACUUUUAGUUCCGUUGAUUAGGAUUUGAUUUCUUUUUUUCGAUUUAACAUGAACAAAUUCAUCAGAAUCACUACCUCCUUUGUCUAGAUAGCAAAAUUUCAGUUUUGCACCACUCUGACUUCUUCUGUAGAUUUAAGAUAGUGGCAAAGCUAACAUCAAAUAUCUGCAUUUGGCUUAAAAUAAGAGUUUUGUAAGAAUUAAAUGGUUUCCUCUAAAUAUUUUCAUGUUCACCUAUUUUGAAAGAAUGUUCCUAGGUCCUUAGCUUUGUUCCCUAGUUUUACUAGUUCCCUAGUUUUAUGAGAAAACGAGUUAAUAUUAUGUAAGUACUUAUUUUUCCAUCCAAACAUAAAAGUUAUUUUGAAUUUCAUUAGCUAUGGUCUGAUCCUUAUAAUUAAUAUCACUAGAAAAAGAAAUUCUAUAUUUAUAUAAAUGAAUGUCUAUGGGUCUUUUAGAGAUUCAUAAAUCAGCCGUCCGAAAGCAAUGACAUUUGGCAUAUCAAUAAUUUGGAGCACAAAGAAGAUCACUGCCAUUAUUCAAACCAUCUAUGACGAACUGUUCAAGCAGAAUGAGUAAAAAAAGCGAAAUGGAAUUUUCUGAUUGCAGGUGAGCGGCACUGAUUCGUUUCCAGUAUUUGAAUCCCAGCCCUUCAUCUUCUCCUCCUCCUUCUUCUUCCAGUUCUUCUCAAUGUCUUCCUCUGUAUCCACACCUCCAGCCAGAGUCAGAACAGGUGAGUGGCACUGAUUUGUUUCCAGUAUUUGAAUCCCAGCACUUCAUCUUCUCCUCCUCCUUCUUCCAGUUCUUCUCAAUGUCUUGCUCUGUAUCCACACCUCCAGCCAGAGUCAGAAACAGAAAUGUAUCUCCAAACAGUUGAAACAUCAUCUACUUAACGAUACUUUGCUUGCAUCAAAAUUUGCUCCAUUACAGCUCUGCUAAACUAGAAUGCCACAUAAAAUUAAAUUUUCCCACUGUUGCUAAACGAAUGUAGAAACCUUUGACCGCUAUAGGACUGUGCAAUUUAGGAGAGAUUGUGAUGGAGGUGGAAGAAGGGAUUAGGAUAAUAGCUUCUGUUAUUAAAUUCUGUCCUUGGGCUGAAUCCAUUUACGGCUCAAGUUUAUUCCGAUGCUUUCGUGGUAAUUUUUUUCCAUUUUGACAAAAUGUUUUUGUAUUUUUAACUUUAUAAAAUUCUCCAAAAAUUGGUUGGUUAUAAUUUAAUAAUAAUAGAUUUUAUAUCCCACUCUU